rnacentral:tRNA from 1 species
GGGGUUGUAGCUCAGUGGUACAGUGCUUACCUAGCAUGUGUGACACACUGGGUUCGAUUCUCAGCACCACA